rnacentral:rRNA from 1 species
CCUACGGGUGGCAGCAGUGAGGAAUAUUGGUCAAUGGGCGCGAGCCUGAACCAGCCAAGUCGCGUGCGGGAAGACGGCCCUAUGGGUUGUAAACCUCUUUUGUCCGGGGGCAAAAGACGCCACGCGUGGCGUUCUGAGAGUACCCGAAGAAUAAGCAUCGGCUAACUCCGUGCCAGCAGCCGCGGUAAUACGGGGGAUGCGAGCGUUAUCCGGUUUUAUUGGGUUUAAAGGGUGCGCAGGCGGAAGAUAAAGUCAGCGGUAAAAUUGGGAGGCUCAACCUCUUCGAGCCGUUGAAACUGGUUGCCUUGAGUGAGGGUGAGGUAGGCGGAAUGCGUGGUGUAGCGGUGAAAUGCUUAGAGAUCACGCAGAACUCCGAUUGCGAAGGCAGCAUACC